AAUUCUGUCACUAAGAACACUAUAAGGAUGGUCAAGAAUAUGUACUUACAAUGGAACGGGGUCAUCUUUUGAGAAAUAAAAAUGGAGAAAUAUGUGAUUGAUUGAUUUACCAUGACUAGGUAAACAGUAAAUAAACACCCACAGAGUGAAUGUGAUCAGUGGAGUAAACACUACCAACCGUGGCAGCCCUUGAGGAAAAUACCUAAGGCCUUCCUCAAGGGGUAGCUGUACUAGGGCGCAUGUGCAGAGAAACCCUCAGCGGGACGCGUGCCUGCCGACUCAGCAGAACCGGAAGGACUGAGACAAAACCACCAGAAGGACUUCUCUUGGAGAAAGACAGGAACAGAAAGUGAGGCGAGAGGCCCAGGGAUUUAGCUCAGUGGUUUCGCCACCUGCUACCCAAGCGCAAGGACCGGUUUUCGAUCCCUGGUACGAAGAGAGAAAGAGAGAAAGAAAGAAACUGAGAUGAGAGACGUGAGAAGGCCCAAGAGGCUAAGGGCAUAGCUCUAGGACUAGGGAAACUUGGGUACAUGUACUUCAGAAGUCAGCUAACCUCUGGUUUUUACUGGACUUGUAUCUAAGUUUAUUCGGGGACGCAAACUGCUUCCGGUACACAGUGUGGCCUAGGCAGGUGCUGGACUCCCCGGCUCUAUGGCAUUUCCCGCCUCAUCCCGUGAGUGUGCCAUUUCUUCACUUUCCAGAGGCUGCCCUUCCUUAGCUGAAGUUUCCGAGAAACGCAGCAAGCUUUCCGCUCUUGGGUUCCAUAUGCCCAGAAGUGUUGGUCUCUGGCUCAAUGGGCUGCUGCUUCCACCACCGUACAGAACCCGGAAGAUUGCUGCGCACAGACAGGAGAGGGAAAAUGAACUUCCCACUCUUCGUAUGACAUUCCAGAUCACAUACUGAAGCCAUGAAACUAAUGGACAGAAAGAGGAACCAGCCAAGCUGGCCUUCCAACUGGAGACAUUCCCAUUAAAGUGCCAGAAAUGUGAAGAAAAACAUUUUGGAUUCUCCAGACCAGACCAGCAGCAACUGAAUACCACUGAACAGUCCCAGGUAAUACCAUGUGGAACAGAAUAAUCAGCUGACUGAGAUAUGCUGAAUGCCUGACCCCCAAAAUAGUUAAAUAUAAUGACUGUCAUUUCAAGUCACUAAUUUUAUAAUAGUUUAUUAUACAGUAGUAGGUAAGUCAGAAGAAAAAAAGUCUGCACUUGGAAAGCUGUUUGUAAAGUUGCUC
rnacentral:lncRNA from 1 species